CUGCAAAUAUUUUUGCUGUUCUGAUUUUGUAAUAAUCAGGGCAGGCUAAAUAUUCACUAUAUUAAGACCAUGAAUGUGGGGGCACUUGGGUGGCUCAG
ensembl:snoRNA SNORA72 Small nucleolar RNA SNORA72